rnacentral:rRNA from 1 species
GAUGAACGCUGGCGGCGUGCCUAAUACAUGCAAGUCGAGCGAACAGACGAGGAGCUUGCUCCUCUGACGUUAGCGGCGGACGGGUGAGUAACACGUGGAUAACCUACCUAUAAGACUGGGAUAACUUCGGGAAACCGUAGCUAAUACCGGAUAAUAUAUUUAACCGCAUGGUUCAAUAGUGAAAGACGGUUUUGCUGUCACUUAUAGAUGGAUCCGCGCCGCAUUAGCUAGUUGGUAAGGUAACGGCUUACCAAGGCAACGAUGCGUAGCCGACCUGAGAGGGUGAUCGGCCACACUGGAACUGAGACACGGUCCAGACUCCUACGGGAGGCAGCAGUAGGGAAUCUUCCGCAAUGGGCGAAAGCCUGACGGAGCAACGCCGCGUGAGUGAUGAAGGUCUUCGGAUCGUAAAACUCUGUUAUUAGGGAAGAACAAAUGUGUAAGUAACUAUGCACGUCUUGACGGUACCUAAUCAGAAAGCCACGGCUAACUACGUG